rnacentral:lncRNA from 1 species
AAAUUAAAUUAAAGUUAUAAGGAUAUCUAUAUUAAAGUUAGUUCCCUGGCGACCUUUUGUCUCUGGCUCUAAUGGCAGCCGGUAAACUAAAUAGGCCCCUGCUUGUGAGUACUUACCAAACUCCUCUCCUAUUAGAUCUGUUGUAUGAGGGAUCAAUUUCUCAAGACAUGCAUGGUAUCCAAUCCACACCUCUGAAUCC